rnacentral:rRNA from 1 species
UGCUUAACACAUGCAAGUCGAACGCUGAAGCUCAGCUUUUGUUGGGUGGAUGAGUGGCGAACGGGUGAGUAACACGUGAGUAACCUGCCCUCUUCUUUGGGAUAACGCCCGGAAACGGGUGCUAAUACUGGAUAUUCACUGAUCUUCGCAUGGGGGUUGGUGGAAAGGUUUGUUCUGGUGGGGGAUGGGCUCGCGGCCUAUCAGCUUGUUGGUGGGGUGAUGGCCUACCAAGGCUUUGACGGGUAGCCGGCCUGAGAGGGUGACCGGUCACAUUGGGACUGAGAUACGGCCCAGACUCCUACGGGAGGCAGCAGUGGGGAAUAUUGCACAAUGGGCGAAAGCCUGAUGCAGCGACGCCGCGUGAGGGAUGGAGGCCUUCGGGUUGUAAACCUCUUUCGCUCAUGGUCAAGCCGCAACUGUGGGUUGUGGUGAGGGUAGUGGGUAAAGAAGCGCCGGCUAACUACGUGCCAGCAGCCGCGGUAAUACGUAGGGCGCGAGCGUUGUCCGGAAUUAUUGGGCGUAAAGGGCUUGUAGGCGGUUGGUCGCGUCUGCCGUGAAAUUCUCUGGCUUAACUGGGGGCGUGCGGUGGGUACGGGCUGACUUGAGUGCGGUAGGGGAGACUGGAACUCCUGGUGUAGCGGUGGAAUGCGCAGAUAUCAGGAAGAACACCGGUGGCGAAGGCGGGUCUCUGGGCCGUUACUGACGCUGAGGAGCGAAA